AGGACGAACGCUGGCGGCGUGCUUAACACAUGCAAGUCGAGCGGUAAGGCCUUUCGGGGUACACGAGCGGCGAACGGGUGAGUAACACGUGGGUGAUCUGCCCUGCACUCUGGGAUAAGCCUGGGAAACUGGGUCUAAUACCGGAUAUGACCUGCUCUCGCAUGGGGGUGGGUGGAAAGAUUUAUCGGUGCAGGAUGGGCCCGCGGCCUAUCAGCUUGUUGGUGGGGUAAUGGCCUACCAAGGCGACGACGGGUAGCCGACCUGAGAGGGUGACCGGCCACGACUGGGACUGAGACACGGCCCAGACUCCUACGGGAGGCAGCAGUGGGAAUAUUGCACAAUGGG
rnacentral:rRNA from 1 species